rnacentral:tRNA from 1 species
GCCGAAGUGGCGGAACUGGUAGACGCGCUGGGUUCAGGGUCCAGUAGGGGUUUCCCUGUCGGGGUUCAAAUCCCCGCUUCGGCACCA